GGUGACCUUCGGAGCUUGCUCCGGGGUGAUCAGUGGCGAACGGGUGAGUAACACGUGAGUAACCUGCCCCAGACUCUGGGAUAACUUCGGGAAACCGUAGCUAAUACCGGAUACGACACGGAGACGCAUGCCUACCGUGUGGAAAGUUUUUCGGUCUGGGAUGGACUCGCGGCCUAUCAGCUUGUUGGUGAGGUAAUGGCUCACCAAGGCGACGACGGGUAGCCGGCCUGAGAGGGCGAUCGGCCACACUGGGACUGAGACACGGCCCAGACUCCUACGGGAGGCAGCAGUGGGGAAUAUUGCACAAUGGGCGCAAGCCUGAUGCAGCGACGCCGCGUGAGGGAUGACGGCCUUUGGGUUGUAAACCUCUUUCAGCAGGGAAGAAGCGCAAGUGACGGUACCUGCAGAAGAAGCACCGGCUAACUACGUGCCAGCAGCCGCGGUAAUACGUAGGGUGCGAGCGUUGUCCGGAAUUAUUGGGCGUAAAGAGCUUGUAGGCGGUUUGUCGCGUCUGCUGUGAAAAUCCGGGGCUCAACCCCGGACUUGCAGUGGGUACGGGCAGACUAGAGUGUGGUAGGGGAGACUGGAAUUCCUGGUGUAGCGGUGAAAUGCGCAGAUAUCAGGAGGAACACCGAUGGCGAAGGCAGGUCUCUGGGCCAUUACUGACGCUGAGAAGCGAAAGCAUGGGGAGCGAACAGGAUUAGAUACCCUGGUAGUCCAUGCCGUAAACGUUGGGAACUAGGUGUGGGCCUCAUUCCACGAGGUCCGUGCCGCAGCUAACGCAUUAAGUUCCCCGCCUGGGGAGUACGGCCGCAAGGCUAAAACUCAAAGGAAUUGACGGGGGCCCGCACAAGCGGCGGAGCAUGCGGAUUAAUUCGAUGCAACGCGAAGAACCUUACCAAGGCUUGACAUACACCGGAAACAUCCAGAGAUGGGUGCCCCGCAAGGUCGGUGUACAGGUGGUGCAUGGUUGUCGUCAGCUCGUGUCGUGAGAUGUUGGGUUAAGUCCCGCAACGAGCGCAACCCUCGUUCUAUGUUGCCAGCACGUGAUG
rnacentral:rRNA from 1 species